rnacentral:tRNA from 1 species
GCCCCGGUGGUGAAAUUGGUAGACACACCGGACUUAAAAUCCGUUGACCGUGAGGUCGUGCCGGUUCGAUUCCGGCCCGGGGCACCA